rnacentral:rRNA from 1 species
UACGUAGGGGGCAAGCGUUGUCCGGAUUUAUUGGGCGUAAAGAGCUCGUAGGCGGUUUGGUAAGUCGGGUGUGAAAUCUCCAAGCUCAACUUGGAGUCGCCACUCGAUACUGCCAUGACUAGAGUUCGGUAGAGGAGCGUGGAAUUCCUGGUGUAGCGGUGAAAUGCGCUGAUAUCAGGAGGAACACCGGUAGCGAAGGCGGCGCUCUGGGCCGUAACUGACGCUGAGGAGCGAAAGCGUGGGUAGCAAACAGG